GAUGCUUGUUGGGAUUUUAUCGUCUGUAAUUGCAACUUGUUAUGAGAUGGCCAAAACCAUUGCAUUUUGCAAUAGUUGAUGAACUUGAUUAUGUCCUAAUUGAUGAGGGAAGAAACCCAUUGCUGAUAAGGGGUGAGGCUAGCAAGGAUGCUGCACGUAACACAGUUGCUGCUAAAGUAGCUGAGCUUCUCAUGCGUGGCCUCGUAUUUUACUUUUUUGCCCUUCUUUUUCCUUUUUGAUGUCUUGUUAUCCAUCUC